GAGGGUAUAGCUCAGUGGUAGAGUGCGUGCUUAGCAUGCACAAGGUCCUGGGUUCAAUCCCCAGUACUUUCA
rnacentral:tRNA from 1 species